rfam:Triticum aestivum genome assembly, contig: Triticum_aestivum_CS42_TGACv1_scaffold_329564_4BS
CAUCUACUCCCUCCGUCCGUAAAUACUUGUCCUAGAAAUGGAUAAAAUGAUUGUAUCCAUAACUAAAAUAAGUCUAGAUACAUUCAUUUUUAGGACAAGUAUUUCCGGACAGAGGGAGUAUAUA